GGGCCCCGUGGACAUCCGAUCUGGUUCGUACCCAUAUCCGCAGCAGGUCUCCAAGGUGAAUAGCCUCUAGUCGAUAGAAUAAUGUAGGUAAGGGAAGUCGGCAAAUUGGAUCCGUAACUUCGGGAUAAGGAUUGGCUCUGAGGUUCUAGGUGAGUCGGGCUUGUCAGAGAAGCGGUCGGUUCUUGUGUCGGAUGCCGGGCCUGGGUGAGGUCGAGCCGCAAGGCGAGAUCAAUCCCGG
rnacentral:ncRNA from 1 species